rnacentral:rRNA from 1 species
UACGUAGGGUGCGAGCGUUGUCCGGAAUUAUUGGGCGUAAAGGGCUCGUAGGCGGUUUGUCACGUCGGGAGUGAAAACUCAGGGCUCAACCCUGAGCCUGCUUCCGAUACGGGCAGACUAGAGGUAUGCAGGGGAGAACGGAAUUCCUGGUGUAGCGGUGAAAUGCGCAGAUAUCAGGAGGAACACCGGUGGCGAAGGCGGUUCUCUGGGCCUUACCUGACGCUGAGACGCGAAAGCGUGGGGAGCGAACAGG